rnacentral:rRNA from 1 species
GACGAACGCUGGCGGCGUGCCUAAUACAUGCAAGUUGAGCGCUGAAGGUUGGUACUUGUACCAACUGGAUGAGCAGCGAACGGGUGAGUAACGCGUGGGGAAUCUGCCUUCGAGCGGGGGACAACAUUUGGAAACGAAUGCUAAUACCGCAUAAAAACUUUAAACACAAGUUUUAAGUUUGAAAGAUGCAAUUGCAUCACUCAAAGAUGAUCCCGCGUUGUAUUAGCUAGUUGGUGAGGUAAAGGCUCACCAAGGCGAUGAUACAUAGCCGACCUGAGAGGGGGAUCGGCCACAUUGGGACUGAGACACGGCCCAAACUCCUACGGGAGGCAGCAGUAGGGAAUCUUCGGCAAUGGACGAAAGUCUGACCGAGCAACGCCGCGUGAGUGAAGAAGGUUUUCGGAUCGUAAAACUCUGUUGGUAGAGAAGAACGUUGGUGAGAGUGGAAAGAUCAUCAAGUGACGGUAACUACCCAGAAAGGGACGGCUAACUACGUG